rnacentral:rRNA from 1 species
CCUACGGGCGGCAGCAGUGAGGAAUAUUGGUCAAUGGGCUUACGCCUGAACCAGCCAAGUCGCGUGAGGGAAGACUGCCCUAUGGGUUGUAAACCUCUUUUGUCAGGGAGCAACGCCGGCUACGUGUAGCCGGACUGAGAGUACCUGAAGAAAAAGCAUCGGCUAACUCCGUGCCAGCAGCCGCGGUAAUACGGAGGAUGCGAGCGUUAUCCGGAUUUAUUGGGUUUAAAGGGUGCGUAGGCGGAAUGCCAAGUCAGCGGUAAAAUCGCGGGGCUCAACCUCGCUCCGCCGUUGAAACUGGCGUUCUUGAGUGGGCGAGAAGUAUGCGGAAUGCGUGGUGUAGCGGUGGAAUGCGUAGAUAUAUGGAAGAACACCAGUGGCGAAGGCGGCUCUCUGGUCUGCAACUGACGCUGAGGCUCGAAAGCAUGGGUAGCGAACAGGAUUAGAUACCCGUGUAGUC